rnacentral:rRNA from 1 species
UACGUAGGGUGCAAGCGUUAAUCGGAAUUAUUGGGCGUAAAGCGCGCGCAGGCGGCUUCUUAAGUCUGAUGUGAAAGCCCACGGCUCAACCGUGGAGGGUCAUUGGAAACUGGGGAGCUUGAGUACAGAAGAGGAGAGUGGAAUUCCAUGUGUAGCGGUGAAAUGCGUAGAUAUAUGGAGGAACACCAGUGGCGAAGGCGGCUCUCUGGUCUGUAACUGCCACUGAGGCGCGACAGCGUGGGGAGCAAACAGG